AACGAACGCUGGCGGCAUGCCUAACACAUGCAAGUCGAACGAGACCUUCGGGUCUAGUGGCGCACGGGUGCGUAACGCGUGGGAACCUGCCCUUAGGUUCGGAAUAACUCCCCGAAAGGGGUGCUAAUACCGGAUAAUGUCUUCGGACCAAAGAUUUAUCGCCUUUGGAUGGGCCCGCGUUGGAUUAGCUAGUUGGUAGGGUAAAAGCCUACCAAGGCGACGAUCCAUAGCUGGUCUGAGAGGAUGAUCAGCCACACUGGGACUGAGACACGGCCCAGACUCCUACGGGAGGCAGCAGUGGGGAAUAUUGGACAAUGGGCGAAAGCCUGAUCCGGCAAUGCCGCGUGAGUGAUGAAGGCCUUAGGGUUGUAAAGCUCUUUUACCCGGGAUGACAAUGACAGUACCGGGAGAAUAAGCUCCGGCUAACUCCGUG
rnacentral:rRNA from 1 species